CUAUAAAAUAGUUCCGGGGGACAUUUUCUCCGCAGAUUGCAGAAGACGUCCAUUUCUGAGACCAUGCUGUGUCUAUUCCGACUCGAAAUAUUUGCAUUUAACAUGGCUAGGAAAAGAUUGUUUGUGUGCAUAUUUUUAAGUCAGUAUUAUAAUACGUGACUUAAGUAUGCAGAAAAUGUACUUUAUAUUAUAAAGCAUUAUAGUGCAUGUUGGAGCAAUGUGACUGGGCCGCAUGAAGGUGGAAAUGCGGAGGGCCGGUAAUAAACUCGGAUCCAUGCGGUGGUUUUGAGCUACACGAGGCUUGAAGGAUGAUGGCCCUCCAUGACUUUGACGAGAAAUAGGUUUCGGUGUGGACUGAGCCCAGCAAUAGCAACAUGGUAAGUAUCUUUUGGCAAUCAGACGGUGCUCUGGAAAUGGACAAAGCUGACACCAGGACUCAAAUUAACAUGCAUUUUAGAACCAGAAGUCUGAAAUAUAUUGGAACUGUAGGAGUAUAAUGCCAUGUAUGAAUAAAGCAUUUCUUAACAGCA